rnacentral:rRNA from 1 species
AACACCGUAACUUCGGGAGAAGGUGUGCCCCGGUAGCGUGUAGAGACUUGCUCUCGAAGCGCGAUGGGGUUGCAGUGAAAUGGUGGCUGCGACUGUUUAAUAAAAACACAGCACUCUGCAAACACGAAAGUGGACGUAUAGGGUGUGACGCCUGCCCGGUGCCGGAAGGUUAAGUGAUGGGGUGCAAGCUCUUGAUCGAAGCCCCGGUAAACGGCGGCCGUAACAAUAACGGUCCUAAGGUAGCGAAAUUCCUUGUCGGGUAAGUUCCGACCUGCACGAAUGGCGUAACGAUGGCCACACUGUCUCCUCCUGGGACUCAGCGAAGUUGAAAUGUUUGUGAAGAUGCAAUCCACCCGCGGCUAGACGGAAAGACCCCAUGAACCUUUACUGUAGCUUUGCAUUGGACUUUGAACCGGUUUGUGUAGGAUAGGUGGGAGACUGUGAAGCCGGGACGCUAGUUUCGGUGGAGUCAACCUUGAAAUACCACCCUGAUUUGUUUGAGGUUCUAACCUUGGUCCGUGAAUCCGGAUCGGGGACCGUGCAUGGUAGGCAGUUUGACUGGGGCGGUCUCCUCCCAAAAGGUAACGGAGGAGUACGAAGGUACGCUUAGGGCGGUCGGACAUCGCCCACAAAGUGCAAUGGCAAAAGCGUGCUUGACUGCGAGACCCACAAGUCGAGCAGGUACGAAAGUAGGUCAUAGUGAUCCGGUGGUUCUGUAUGGAAGGGCCAUCGCUCAACGGAUAAAAGGUACUCUGGGGAUAACAGGCUAAUUCCUCCCAAGAGUUCAUAUCGACGGGGGAGUUUGGCACCUCGAUGUCGGCUCAUCACAUCCUGGGGCUGUAGUCGGUCCCAAGGGUAUGGCUGUUCGCCAUUUAAAGUGGUACGCGAGCUGGGUUUAAAACGUCGUGAGACAGUUUGGUCCCUAUCUGCCGUGGGCGCUGGAAAUUUGAAGGGGGCUGCUCCUAGUACGAGAGGACCGGAGUGGACGAACCUCUGGUGUACCGGUUAUGACGCCAGUCGUAUCGCCGGGUAGCUAAGUUCGGAAGAGAUAAACGCUGAAAGCAUCUAAGCGUGAAACUCGCCUUAAGAUAAGAUUUCCCGGAGUCUUGAACUCCCUGAAGGGUCGUCGAAGACCACGACGUUGAUAGGUCAGGUGUGGAAGCGCAGCAAUGCGUUAAGCUAACUGAUACUAAUUGCCCGUGCGGCUUGAUCCU